GGGACGUUGCCAGGCCUGAGCAUUCCCACAAAGCCAGCAGCAAGAACACUUCUGAGGGAGAACAGGGUUGUUAACAGGUUCCUGAGCUGAUUUCAGCAGCCUCGUGCCUGGAUACCUGGGGCUGAGUUCUGAUUGUCCUUGUGUCGAUUCUGUGCAUGUGAGAAGCAAUUUCCAGUGAUGACUGAACAGUCUGGACUGCAAAUGCCUGCCUGAAAACUGAUUGGAAAAAUUACAUUUUCUACUUGGGAUGUACCUCUGAAUGAACAGACACUUGAGCAAUAUUUUAAGCAAACUUGCUUCUUUAAAAAUAUCGGUGUAGUGAGAGCACUCGUGCUGCAUUUGGUGCUGCUCAGUUCUUGGUGUUGAUACUGCAGCAAGGUAUAAGCACAGGUGAGGACAUAAUUCAGCACUUCUCCUUUGGGCUCCUCAUAUUUUCUUUCCAGGGAAAAGGAGAAUUAAUUCUAAUCUGAAAUGGCUUUGUGAUUUGAGCUUAAGUUUCUGGUAGGCUUGGGAGAAGUUUGUUAAUAAUUGUUUUUCUCUGUCUGUUCACUUCACCAGAAAGUUUCUCCUGGAUGAUGCAAAAUACAACUUCACCUUAUGGGUGGAUGGAGUCCUCAGCUAAGACAGAUUUGUGUUUUGGAAAUGAAGAAAUUUGACUAUUAAAGAACUGUAAAUACUUGCUUUGUAUACCUUGAAUGUUUAUUGCCUUGGAGCCAAAUUGUGCUCCAAGUCUUUCUGUUAUCUCAGAUACAGAACGGGGAAGAAAACGAGGGAGGCAAGACCUGGUUUGGUGUUUUUUUUUUUCAAUUUUUCCUUAUUUUUAUCUUCUUUUUCUUUUCUUUUUCUUUUCAAAGAAGCAAAGCCACUCUCCAAGUCAGUGAGUGACAGCCUGAGCCUAAAGAGGGGUGAGCAGCAAAAAUGGAGCAAAAAUGGACCCAGGAGCCCUCCCAGAGAUCCUGACAGCCCUGCCUGCAUUUCAGUGAGUGCCCUGCUGGUUCAAAUGCUGCAGUGAAUCCUGAGAGGAGGCAGAGUGAGAGCUGAGGAUCAGAAAUGGAUGGUCCAGGAAGAUUUUGGUUGUGAACAGAAAGAGUGAGGAAGGAAGAUCCCUUUUGUUCCUUGCUGACAAAUCUGACUGAGUUGGGAGGUACUGUCAGAGAGUGAAGCACUAAGGCCCAAAACCUCAAAGGUGCAAGGAUUUUUAACCUCUGCUGAUUUCUGUCAUUGUCUAGCUAACUUUCUCUUAAUAUGAAUUUCUUAAAAUUAAAACUUCCAUUAAAAACCUUCAAAAGCAUAUUUGCAGUUUGGGGGGUUCUGUCUGUGCUCCUGUAUGAUUUGUAUCUGAUAAAGAAUGGAUACAAUUA